GCCCUCGGGGUGUCACACGUUAGAUUGCAAGUCUAAAGACGUAGGCUAGAAACCUACCGGGGCCU
rnacentral:tRNA from 1 species